AUGCUGUCGUCACCGCUGAGGGUGGGGUGGUGUGCUCGAGUAACCAGAACCAGAGCAGGGAGGCACACAACAUCCUCAGCAAACAAGGAUUCAGUGUGUGUUCCUUUGGGACAGGGAUACACGUGAAACUCCCAGGACCAGAUCGAGACAAGCCUAACAUCUACGAUUUCAAACCACAUAUAAUCUGAUGUACAAUGAUCUUCUUAGGAACGACAAAGAACUCUACACAGAGAAUGGAACCUUACACAUGGUGGACAGGAAUAAGAGAAUCAAGCCUCAGCCAGAGAGGUUCCAGAACCACAAAGAUCUGUGUGAUCUGAUCCUCACCUGUGAGGAGCGAGUCUACAACCAAGUCGUGGAAGAUCUGAAUUCCUGGAAACAGGAGACCUGCCAGCCAGUGCAUGUCAUCAACGUGGAUAUCCAGGACAACCACGAGGAGGCCACGCUGGGGGCCUUCCUCAUCUGUGAGCUGUGCCUGUGUAUCCAGCACACGGAGGACAUGGAGACGAGAUUGAUGAGCUGCUACAGGAGUUCAAGGAGAAGAGUGGCCGGGCCUUCCUGCACACGACUGGAGGCCUCAAAGCCAGGCCUUUCUGCAGGGAGUCGGCUUCCACUGACUCGGCUCCAUGGACCCUUGCCACCUCAGAGCUCCCUGUGUGA